GGAAAACAUGCUGCAAAUUAGAGAUGGUGGUGUCUCGCUCUCCUGCAGAACUUCCCUUAGCCGUCUGAAGAAGACCGAUUGCAGGACAGAAAACGGCGACGAGUGCAAGGAGGGCUACAGACGCUGGGAAAUUGACAGAACUGGAAACCGGGAACCGGGUUGCUUGUUAUGGGCCAGAAAAAUACCCUGAUACUUGCCAUUGUUAAACAUUUAUGGAAGCUUAAGGAAUGUAUUUGGCUAGGCUAGGCAAAAAAAAAAAAAAAUCUUUGCAGAUCAAACAUUUUUUGCCUGGGGUGAAA